rnacentral:rRNA from 1 species
GUGUCAGCAGCCGCGGUAAUACGGAGGGUGCGAGCGUUGUCCGGAAUCACUGGGCGUAAAGGGCGCGUAGGUGGCGCGGAGAGUCAACGGUGAAAGCUCGGGGCUCAACCCCGAGUCGGCCGUCGAUACUUCCGGGCUGGAGCACUGUAGAGGCAGGUGGAAUUCCGGGUGUAGCGGUGGAAUGCGUAGAGAUCCGGAAGAACACCGGUGGCGAAGGCGGCCUGCUGGGCAGUUGCUGACACUGAGGCGCGACAGCGUGGGGAGCAAACAGGAUUAGAAACCCCCGUAGUCC